rnacentral:rRNA from 1 species
GUCUUAGCUUGCUAAGGCUGAUGGCGACCGGCGCACGGGUGAGUAACACGUAUCCAACCUGCCGUCUACUCUUGGCCAGCCUUCUGAAAGGAAGAUUAAUCCAGGAUGGGAUCAUGAGUUCACAUGUCCGCAUGAUUAAAGGUAUUUUCCGGUAGACGAUGGGGAUGCGUUCCGUUAGAUAGUAGGCGGGGUAACGGCCCACCUAGUCAACGAUGGAUAGGGGUUCUGAGAGGAAGGUCCCCCACAUUGGAACUGAGACACGGUCCAAACUCCUACGGGAGGCAGCAGUGAGGAAUAUUGGUCAAUGGGCGAUGGCCUGAACCAGCCAAGUAGCGUGAAGGAUGACUGCCCUAUGGGUUGUAAACUUCUUUUAUAAAGGAAUAAAGUCGGGUAUGCAUACCCGUUUGCAUGUACUUUAUGAAUAAGGAUCGGCUAACUCCGUGCCAGCAGCCGCGGUAAUACGGAGGAUCCGAGCGUUAUCCGGAUUUAUUGGGUUUAAAGGGAGCGUAGAUGGAUGUUUAAGUCAGUUGUGAAAGUUUGCGGCUCAACCGUAAAAUUGCAGUUGAUACUGGAUGUCUUGAGUGCAGUUGAGGCAGGCGGAAUUCGUGGUGUAGCGGUGAAAUGCUUAGAUAUCACGAAGAACUCCGAUUGCGAAGGCAGCCUGCUAAGC